UACAGGGGGUGCAAACGUUGCUCGGAAUCAUUGGGCGUAAAGCGCACGUAGGCGGUUCGUUAUGUCGGAUGUGAAAGCCCUUGGCUUAACCGAGGAAGUGCAUCCGAAACUGGCGAGCUAGAGUACUAAAGAGGAUCGCGGAAUUCCCGGUGUAGAGGUGAAAUUCGUAGAUAUCGGAAGGAACACCGGUGGCGAAGGCGGCGAUCUGGGUAGAUACUGACGCUGAGGUGCGAAAGCGUGGGGAGCAACAGG
rnacentral:rRNA from 1 species